rnacentral:rRNA from 1 species
GAUGAACGCUGGCGGCGUGCCUAAUACAUGCAAGUCGAACGCUGAAGCUUGGUGCUUGCACUUCUUGGAUUAGCGGCGAACGGGUGAGUAAUACGUGAGUAACCUGCCUUUGAGACUGGGAUAACUUCGGGAAACCGGGUCUAAUACUGGAUACGAUAUGUCACCGCAUGGUUCAGUGUUGAAAGGCUUUGUUUCGUUUUGGAUUGGUUGACUGCUAACUAGCUUGUUGGUUGGGUAAUGUCUCACCAAGGCAAGGAGGGGUAGCCGACCUGAGAGGGUGGCCGGCGACAAUGGGACUGAGAGACGGCGCAGACGGCUACGGGAGGCAGCGGGGGAGAGUAUUGCACAAUGAGCGGAAGCGUGAGGCAGAGGUGCCGCGUGAGGGAUGACGGCCUACGGGUUGUAAACCUAUGUGAGAGUGAAAGAAGAGAAAGUGACGGUACGUGAAGAAAAAGCGCCGGCUAACUACGUG